rnacentral:rRNA from 1 species
UACGAAGGGGGCUAGCGUUGCUCGGAAUUACUGGGCGUAAAGCGCACGUAGGCGGCUUUGUAAGUUAGAGGUGAAAGCCCGGGGCUCAACUCCGGAAUUGCCUUUAAGACUGCAUCGCUAGAAUUGUGGAGAGGUAAGUGGAAUUCCGAGUGUAGAGGUGAAAUUCGUAGAUAUUCGGAAGAACACCAGUGGCGAAGGCGACUUACUGGACACAUAUUGACGCUGAGGUGCGAAAAGCGUGGGGGAGCAAACAGGG